AGCGAACGCUGGCGGCAUGCCUAACACAUGCAAGUCGCACGGGGGGGCUUCGGCCUCCCAGUGGCGGACGGGUGAGGAACGCGUAGGGACCUGUCGAGGGGUGGGGGAUAACCGCGGGAAACUGCGGCUAAUACCGCAUGACGCCGCGGCGUGACAGCCGGGGCCAAAGGCGAAAGCCGCCCGCCGAGGGGCCUGCGUCCGAUUAGCUGGUUGGCGGGGUAGCGGCCCACCAAGGCGUCGAUCGGUAGCUGGUCGGAGAGGGUGAUCAGCCACACUGGGACUGGGACCCGGCCCGGACCCCACCGGGGGGCCGCAGGGGGGAAUAUUGGACAGUGGGCGCAAGCCUGACCCAGCAAGGCCGGGGGGGUGAAGAAGGUCUUCGGAUGGUAAACCCCUUUCGGGGGGGACGUUGGGGCGGGACCCCGAAGAAGAAGCCCCGGCUAAUUUCGG
rnacentral:rRNA from 1 species